rnacentral:rRNA from 1 species
CAGUAGCCGCGGGAAUACGGAGGGUGCAAGCGUUAUCCGGAUUCACUGGGUUUAAAGGGUGCGUAGGUGGGCAGGUAAGUCAGUGGUGAAAUCUCCGGGCCUAACCCGGAAACUGCCGUUGAUACUAUCUGUCUUGAAUAUAGUGGAGGUGAGCGGAAUAUGUCAUGUAGCGGUGAAAUGCUUAGAUAUGACAUAGAACACCCAUUGCGAAGGCAGCUCGCUACACUAUUAUUGACACUGAGGCACGAAAGCGUGGGGAUCAAACAGGAUUAGAUACCCGCGUAGUCCCUGUCUCUUAUAC